rnacentral:lncRNA from 10 species
ACAAACCAUGAUGUGGAGAACAAGAGCCUGCAGCCCCUGGAGACCAGGACCUCGAGGGAACUUGUCUACACCUCAUGAAAACCUCUCCACGGUGACGAUGUGAAGCACCUGGAGCUCACACAAUGCUGGGCGAGUAUAACUGAGUACAAAUACUUUGGAACACUGUGUCACACAUAAAGCUGAACAUCUCCUAUGAACCAGCAAUCUACUCUUAGGGACAUAUCCAGUGGUGUGCUAUGCAAUACAGCAAUGAGAGUGGCCAGCCACUGCUACUACAUGCAGCCCCAUGGAGGACUCUCACAGAUACAACUCUGAACGAAAGAGGCCAGGCGUGAACAGCACAGGUGGAACUGAGGAGUCCCAACCCAGGGCAGGAAGGGCACAAGAACAUCGUCCUGUUUGUGGACUCACCUGGUAGUUACCCGGAUGUGUUCACUUUUGAUAAUUUAUUA